CUCAGGGUCUGGAGGGACAGGAGAUUCUGUGUCGAUAUAAUCUUCAGGGCUAAAAUCAAGAAGCCGGGAGCAAUGAAUGAAUGAAAGGUAAACUAUACUAUACUACCCUAUGACUUCAAGCUUGGCCAUGUGACUUGAUGUGGACAAUGGAAUCUCCCCAUGAAAUACAACAAGUUUCAGCUGCAUAUCACAUGCCCAUUGCCUCACCUCCAAUUCUUUGAGGUAGUUAACGGUUGUUUCUUGUCUCAUUAAUAUGACUAAGUCAUGGGGAUGCUUCAAGUUCAUCGGCGAAUCCACCUGCAAGCAACAGCAAAAAGAAAACAAAUAUAAGCACCCGCUAAGUUCCAGACACAAUGCCAGGCUUAAAGGACACAGCAAGAAUGCAGCGGGUCUGCAAGCCAGAAACAGCGCUCUCACCAGAACCUGAUCACUCUGGCACUCUGACCUUAGACUUCUGGCCUCCAAAACUGUGACGGCAACUCAACAGCCAGGAAAUAACUUCGCUAUUUCACGCUAGAAAUCACUGCUGUACAACACCAUUGAAUAAAGUUCAACUUUAUUACUCAUCGAA